UACGAAGGGGGCUAGCGUUGCUCGGAAUCACUGGGCGUAAAGGGUGCGUAGGCGGGUUUUUAAGUCAGGGGUGAAAUCCUGGAGCUCAACUCCAGAACUGCCUUUGAUACUGGGAAGCUUGAGUCCGGAAGAGGUGAGUGGAACUCCGAGUGUAGAGGUGAAAUUCGUAGAUAUUCGGAAGAACACCUGCGGUGUAGACGGCUUACUGGACCAUCACUGACGCUGAGGCACGAAAGCGUGGGGAGCAAACAGG
rnacentral:rRNA from 1 species